rnacentral:lncRNA from 1 species
UGGAGAUGUCUGUUGGAAUGCUAGACUGUCAGGCCAUCCAAGUUCAUCAGCUUCAACAUUCUCUUUUGAGUGGCAUCUACAAGUGUUAGAUUUCAUGAUAAAAGCACUGACAUUCGAUCGAGCAUGGUUCACUUCACGUCAUCCUCCCUGAUCAUCAUAGAUGCCACCAUUUAUGUGGAGAUGUAUGUUGGUAUGCUAGACUGUCUGGCCAUCCAAGUUCAUCAGCUUCAGAAUUCUCUUUUGAGUGGCAUCUGCAAGUGUUAGAUUUCAUGAUAAAAGCACUGGCAUUCGAUCGAGCAUGCCAAUGGAUAAUCAUUACCGGCCGGUACCAGAUAUAAAUCACUUGGACUCAUCGAAGAUGACGACGAAGCAGCCGCACCGCCGACCCUCGAUCAUCUUCUCGCAGAGUCGCGAACCACCACAGAUGCCCAAUAACGAACAAGGUUCAUUUUACGUGAAGUGAACCAUGAAAAGUUGGAAGUGCAGGAACCAUGCUGAAUCUAUUUUCGAGUUUCUUGCUUGUCCAAUAUACAGGCACCACUUUAGCUGAAAAGUU